UACGUAGGUGGCAAGCGUUGUCCGGAUUUACUGGGCGUAAAGAGCGCGCAGGCGGUCAGAUAAGUCGAAUGUGAAAGCCCCCGGCUCAACUGGGGAGGGUCAUUCGAUACUGUUCGACUCGAAGGCAGGAGAGGGAAGCGGAAUUCCCGGUGUAGUGGUGAAAUGCGUAGAUAUCGGGAGGAACACCAGUGGCGAAGGCGACUACCUGGCCUGUUCUUGACGCUGAGGCGCGAAAGCUAGGGGAGCAAACGGG
rnacentral:rRNA from 1 species